UGGUGGAGUGAUUUGUCUGGUUGAUUCCGAUAACGAACGAGACCUUGACCUACUAAAUAGUUGAAGGAAUGAUCUAAUACGGGUGAAGCAUGGCUAUUGGGUUGAGUUGGGCAACUGGCUCUCCCAAUUAAAGUGUGAAUCCUUGAUUCUAUUCCUUUUAUUACUUCUUAGAGGGACUACUAGAAACAGAAGCUAGUGGAAGUACGAGGCAAUAACA
rnacentral:rRNA from 1 species